rnacentral:rRNA from 1 species
AACUGCUCUUUAACAAUUUAUCAGACAAUCUGUGUGGGCACUCAAAGUGACAUGGAUUCUUAACGUCCUCGGACGAAAAAUGAAUACCAAGUCUCAAGAGUGAACACGUAAUUCAUUACGAAGUUUAAUUCUUUGAGCAUCAAACUUAAAUUGAAGAGUUUGAUCAUGGCUCAGAUUGAACGCUGGCGGCAGGCCUAACACAUGCAAGUCGAGCGGUAGCACAGAGAGCUUGCUCUCGGGUGACGAGCGGCGGACGGGUGAGUAAUGUCUGGGAAACUGCCUGAUGGAGGGGGAUAACUACUGGAAACGGUAGCUAAUACCGCAUAAUGUCGCAAGACCAAAGUGGGGGACCUUCGGGCCUCAUGCCAUCAGAUGUGCCCAGAUGGGAUUAGCUUGUAGGUGGGGUAACGGCUCACCUAGGCGACGAUCCCUAGCUGGUCUGAGAGGAUGACCAGCCACACUGGAACUGAGACACGGUCCAGACUCCUACGGGAGGCAGCAGUGGGGAAUAUUGCACAAUGGGCGCAAGCCUGAUGCAGCCAUGCCGCGUGUGUGAAGAAGGCCUUCGGGUUGUAAAGCACUUUCAGCGGGGAGGAAGGCGGUGAGGUUAAUAACCUCAUCGAUUGACGUUACCCGCAGAAGAAGCACCGGCUAACUCCGUGCCAGCAGCCGCGGUAAUACGGAGGGUGCAAGCGUUAAUCGGAAUUACUGGGCGUAAAGCGCACGCAGGCGGUCUGUCAAGUCGGAUGUGAAAUCCCCGGGCUCAACCUGGGAACUGCAUUCGAAACUGGCAGGCUAGAGUCUUGUAGAGGGGGGUAGAAUUCCAGGUGUAGCGGUGAAAUGCGUAGAGAUCUGGAGGAAUACCGGUGGCGAAGGCGGCCCCCUGGACAAAGACUGACGCUCAGGUGCGAAAGCGUGGGGAGCAAACAGGAUUAGAUACCCUGGUAGUCCACGCCGUAAACGAUGUCGAUUUGGAGGUUGUGCCCUUGAGGCGUGGCUUCCGGAGCUAACGCGUUAAAUCGACCGCCUGGGGAGUACGGCCGCAAGGUUAAAACUCAAAUGAAUUGACGGGGGCCCGCACAAGCGGUGGAGCAUGUGGUUUAAUUCGAUGCAACGCGAAGAACCUUACCUGGUCUUGACAUCCACAGAACUUAGCAGAGAUGCUUUGGUGCCUUCGGGAACUGUGAGACAGGUGCUGCAUGGCUGUCGUCAGCUCGUGUUGUGAAAUGUUGGGUUAAGUCCCGCAACGAGCGCAACCCUUAUCCUUUGUUGCCAGCGGUCCGGCCGGGAACUCAAAGGAGACUGCCAGUGAUAAACUGGAGGAAGGUGGGGAUGACGUCAAGUCAUCAUGGCCCUUACGACCAGGGCUACACACGUGCUACAAUGGCAUAUACAAAGAGAAGCGACCUCGCGAGAGCAAGCGGACCUCAUAAAGUAUGUCGUAGUCCGGAUUGGAGUCUGCAACUCGACUCCAUGAAGUCGGAAUCGCUAGUAAUCGUAGAUCAGAAUGCUACGGUGAAUACGUUCCCGGGCCUUGUACACACCGCCCGUCACACCAUGGGAGUGGGUUGCAAAAGAAGUAGGUAGCUUAACCUUCGGGAGGGCGCUUACCACUUUGUGAUUCAUGACUGGGGUGAAGUCGUAACAAGGUAACCGUAGGGGAACCUGCGGUUGGAUCACCUCCUUA